AACUAAGAGUAUUAAAACAAGUUUCAGUUCUUCUUCUCUAUAGUUUGUUUUCUGGCAGCAAUUUACAGCUCCAUUUUGUUGUUUCAGCUUGUUGUUUUCCUGUUCUUCCUCCCCUUCGUGUGACAAACAGAAAGAAAAAAAAAAAGAACAGGAAAUAAACAUAUGAUAUCUGGCUUUAAUCAAUCAAUCUACACAUAAAAGAGAUCCAAAGUACAUGUACAAUUUAGUGGAUAUAUGGAUCUCAAUUUACUCUACAUAUAAGCCAAUUCCUCUCUUAUUUCUUCUCCUUUUUCCUAUGAAAUCUUAUUAUACAAUAAAAGGAAUUCAACAACAAUAACAGCAUACCCAGUGUGUUCCUACAAAGUGGGAUUUGGAAAGAGUAGAGUAGUAUUGUACGCAGUUUGCACCUCUACAUCGAGCGGGUGCAGUGGAGCUGUUGUUUCCAAUAGACCAUAAUAUGAAUGGCAGACCUCAAAAGCCACCAUCACAACUGCAGGCGGCACUGCCAGAACCACCUUUGGUUGAUCUUUUACCAUAAGAACACAUCUUCUUGUAGUUAAGGCAGCAACAUAGGAGGCCUAUAAGAACCAUGAAACCUGUUACCAUUGCUAUAUUCUCACCCCACUUCUUUGUAUCCAUUUUAAUUUGGAGAUCAUGAUAUAUCUCCUCUUGUUAAUAAAUAGACCUACCUCUUCAUGAGAUAAAAAAUAUAUGAAUUGCGCUUGGAAGUCAAACCAAUAGUGUAUCAGUCUUUUCAAGAAAAAAUAUAGUACUCCCUCAGCUUUCAUAUUGUUUUGGCUUCGGUUGACCAGAUACAUUGCACCCC
rnacentral:lncRNA from 1 species